rnacentral:lncRNA from 1 species
CACAGAGGUAGCUAACAUUAACUGAAAUGUUAGCUACAAGUAGGCUUGUACCGUAAGUGGUAAAUUGCCGCGUGCCGCUUAGGCCGCCCAUUGUGACUCGGUUGUGGGCGUGCAGGCAGCAUAUAGCACGCCCACAACCGAGUGCGUCAAUAAUUCAGCGUAGCAAGUUUGUAUGAAGGUCUGGUUAUUAAAUGGGUACGUAGUUCAAUAGUAAUAUCCUCUAAAACGCACUGGUGACAAACAAACUUUGCUGCCCUGUAUCCAAUUAUCUACAUGGCUGGGAGAACCUAUUGAAGUAAGUAAAUACAUUUGAAAAAGUUUUUUUAUUUUUUUUAAACCUACGUGUUAUUAGCUAACUAGCUACAGUGCAGGCUAACUCAAAUGAGCUGCUAAAUGAACUAGCUAGUUGGCUAGCUAGCUAUCUAGCCAACUUCACAUACUGUAUAGAUAGCUAGCCAAGUGAAUUAAAUAUCACCAGCUACCUUACCUCAUAUUAGCUCGGUAUCUUGAUGUAUUUAUCACUGUAAAAAACGAACUCAAAAUGCAUUUGUCGGUAGCUAGCUAACAGCCAUGGAGGGUGAAAGGAUAGCAGCCCCAACUGUCAAAGUGAGAGAGUUGGCUAUUCUGGAUAGGGCAGGUACUUUUGUGUAGUUCCUGUCCCUAGAAGUGAGGACGGAGAUAAUAGUAACAUAAUAUUCAGUACGGUAUAAUUUCACUAUAAUGAAGUCUGUUUAUUGUGAGGUUUUCUGUCCUCAGAUAAAGAGAGCUGUGAAAGCCUGUCUACAUAUGGGGGUGCCACAGGGUUCAAUUCUUGAGCCGACUCUUUUCUCUGUAUACAUCAAUGAUGUCGCUCUUGCUGCUGGUGAGUCUCUGAUCCACCUCUACGCAGACGACACCAUUCUGUAUACUUCUGGCCCUUUGGACACUGUGUUAACUACCCUCCAGACGAGCUUCAAUGCCAUACAACUCUCCUUCCGUGGCUUCCAACUGCUUCCAACAAGUAAAACUAAAUGCAUGCUCUUCAACCGAUCACUGCCUGCACCUGCCCGCCCGUCCAGCAUCACUACUCUGGACGGUUCUGACUUAGAAUAUGUGGACAACUACAAAUACCUAGGUGUCUGGUUAGACUGUGAACUCUCCUUCCAGACUCACAUCAAAUAUCUCCCAUCCAAAGUUAAAUCUAGAAUUGGCUUCCUAUUUCGCAACAAAGCAUCUUUCACUCAUGCUGCCAAACAUACCCUCGUAAAACUGACCAUCCUACCGAUCCUCGACUUCGGCGAUGUCAUUUACAAAAUAGCCUCCAAUACCCUACUCAAUAAAUUGGAUGCAGUGCCAUCCGUUUUGUCACCAAAGCCCCAUAUAUUACCCACCACGCGCUCUCGUUGGCUGGCCCUCGCUUCAUACUCGUCGCCAAACCCACUGGCUCCAGGUCAUCUACAAGACCCUGCUAGCUAAAGUUCCCCCUUAUCUCAGCUCGCUGGUCACCAUAGCAGCACCCACCUGUAGCACGCGCUCUAGCAGGUAUAUCUCUCUGGUCACCCCCAAAGCCAAUUCCUCCUUCGGCCGCCUCUCCUUCCAGUUCUCUACUGCCAAUGACUGGAACGAACUACAAAAAUCUCUAAAACGGGAAACGCUUAUCUCCCUCACUAGCUUUAAGCACCAGCUGUCAGAGCAGCUCACAGAUUACUGCACCUGUACAUAGCCCAUCUAUAAUUUAGCCCAUACAACUACCUCUUCCCCUACUGUAUUUAUUUAUUUAUUUAUUUUUUUGCUCCUUUGCACCCCAUUAUUUCUAUUUUGCACUUUCUUCCACUGCAAAUCUACCAUUCCAGUGUUUUACUUGCUAUAUUGUAUUUACUUUGCCACCAUGGCCUUUUUUGCCUUUACCUCCCUUAUCUCACCUCAUUUGCUCACUUUGUAUAUAGACUUAUUUUUCUACUAUAUUAUUGACUGUAUGUUUGUUUUACUCCAUGUUGUUGUAUGUGUCAAACUGCUUGCUUUAUCUUGGUCAGGUCGCAAUUGUAAAUGAGAACUUGUUCUCAACUUUCCUACCUGGUUAAAUAAAAUAAAUAUGAAGAGCAGUGGUUCUCAGUCCUGGGGUCUCAAAAGGGGUGCACAUUUUUGUUUUUGCCUUAGCACUGCACAGCUGAUUCAGUUGAUCAACUCAUCAAGCUUCGAGUGAUACCUUGUAACUGGAGAUUCCUUCAAAACGAUUGCCUACAGUUAACAUAUAGGGCACUGCAAGGUUGGGUGACCAGGGCCAUCUGGGACUGCCUCCUGGGGGAAUUCAGGUGUGUGAAGGCUACCUGUGUGCUGCAUAACUUAAUGAGGAUGGACACGAGGACCAGGAGGGGAUCUGCAGCUUGCCGCCGUGUGCCAGAGUAGAAGUCUGCUGCUCUGCGGGAUGUUAAGGAUUGGGUAGCAAGAGACGCAGCAAGAGAGGCAAUCCAUGUGCGGGAGAUCUUCUACUUCUUCGAAGAGGGUGCUGUUCCCUGGCAACACCAUAGACUACACUAUGCACAACCAAAGGCUCUUUUAAGAGCCAUUCACAUUGCAAUAAGAGUAUUCUUCCAUUUACUUAGCUAUGUCAACUGCAGUUAUUGAAUUCACAGUUUUUCUCCCUUUGAUUUCUACUUCUCAGGUGAGGGUGCUGUUUAGCUAAGGGUGUGAUGUCUGUACAAAAACAAAACAGGCUAUUUUAAAUCACCCAUAUUGAUAUUAUUAUUAUUAUUAUUUUUUGAACAAUUAGACACCCUAUAACCCACACACUCAUUUAUCAAUCUGAUUGAUGGAUGGUGUUGAGCAGGUUCAGGUGUAUAACUGGCUUCUUCCACCUUCAAAGAAUAGGCAAGAGGGCCAACCAUGGAGAAUAGUAAAACACUUCAUUAUUUCUAUAACUACGCUAUAUUGUUUGUCCUCGUGUGUCCGUUCAUGUUUUUCAGCAUAAAGUACUCUGCAGCCACUUAGUGUGGUGUGGACACCAGGUGAGGCCACACCAGGAUUCCUGUUGAAAACAGUCACUUUUGACUACCUUAUUUUCUCAAGUCUCUCCUUCACUUCAUCCCUUUCUCCUCUUCUCCCUAGAUCCUCUAGGUUAUAUCAGCUGUGUCGGUGAACCCCUCCUGCAUCUGAACUGGCUACAUAGAGGGCACAGCAUGAUCAGAGAUAUGUUUUGAUGUGAGAGAGGAUGCCAACCCCCAGUCCUAUCAUCGCCACCUCACCCGCUUUUAAGAUAAGUAUCUCUCGACAGCCCAAAGGUUAUGUAAUUGUGAUGAACUGAGAAUAUUUAGGUAGCACUGUGAUUCAUUAAUCAUAUGCUGCCUUCCCUGCUCCUGUUUUACCUCUUUCCCUUUGUCUUUUACACCUCUCCCGCCACCUCUUUCUUCCUCUGUUUUUAUAAUGCACAACAGAUGUGCAUUGAAGUACAGAUUGAACUUGUAUUUAUAAUAUUACAAUUAUAAUAUUUAGAAUGCAUGUAUUUAUAACACUUGGAUAAUGAGCUUUUCAAUAAACCAUUUUACAUUCUCUACUGGUUGAAAAAUAAGUCUCAUUUGAUGAAAUACUACACCUAUUCUGUGUUUAUCAGAUCAAUGCAGAUGAAGGGCAUUAAAUAUUGAGAUGAACCGGUUUUAGACUAUUUACAUGAUGCAUAGGAAGUGUAGUGUACUGUUUUUCUGUAUAUAUAUAUAUAUAUAUA